AAAGGGUUACAAGGUGUCAAAAAAGCAUGUCUUACACACCACUAUACCUGGAUGUGUUGAUUGCAAUUGAAUGGAAAAUAUAUUCUUAUGGGAAAGGUUUUUAAAACCGCGGAUCGUCUUUGCGGUGUCCUUGGAUGAGAUGUUUGGUGGAGAGAUAUCUGUUUCCAUGGGUGGAACAAGAGGACAAUUCUGUGAAGAAAGCACUUUAAAGUCAUCUUCACCAAACCUCAAGAGCUCAGGCACUAGGAAAGAGGUAAUUAAACACAGAAUUUGCUAUUACAAUGACACGAAACCAUCUUCACUAAACCUCAAAAUGCACUUGAAA